GAGCUCACUUCCGCAGCACAUGUACUAGAACUGGAACAAUACAGAGAUUAGCAUGGCCCCUGCGCAAGGAUGACACUCAAAUAGUGCUACUGUCCUCCCAGCAAU
ensembl:snRNA U6 U6 spliceosomal RNA